UACGGAGGGGGCUAGCGUUGCUCGGAAUCACUGGGCGUAAAGGGCGCGUAGGCGGGCUCUUAAGUCAGAGGUGAAAGCCCAAGGCUCAACCUUGGAAUUGCCUUUGAUACUGAGGGCCUUGAGACCGGAAGAGGUCGGCGGAACUGCGAGUGUAGAGGUGAAAUUCGUAGAUAUUCGCAAGAACACCAGUGGCGAAGGCGGCCGACUGGUCCGGUUCUGACGCUGAGGCGCGAAAGCGUGGGGAGCAAACAGG
rnacentral:rRNA from 1 species